GACCAGACUCCUACGGGAGGCAGCAGUGGGGAAUAUUGCACAAUGGGGGAAACCCUGAUGCAGCAACGCCGCGUGAAGGAAGACGGUUUUCGGAUUGUAAACUUCUGUUCUUAGUGAAGAAGAAUGACGGUAGCUAAGGAGCAAGCCACGGCUAACUACGUGCCAGCAGCCGCGGUAAUACGUAGGGAGCGAGCGUUGUCCGGAAUUACUGGGUGUAAAGGGAGCGUAGGCGGGCUUGUAAGUUGAAUGUCUAAUCCACCGGCUCAACCGGUGAUCGCGUUCAAAACUGCAGGUCUUGAGUGAAGUAGAGGCAGGCGGAAUUCCUAGCGUAGCGGUGAAAUGCGUAGAUAUUAGGAGGAACACCAGUGGCGAAGGCGGCCUGCUGGGCUUUAACUGACGCUGAGGCUCGAAAGCGUGGGGAGCAAACAGGAUUAGAUACCCCCGUAC
rnacentral:rRNA from 1 species